AUCAAAAUUCACUCUACACCAUCAUCACAUAGACGCUGCAUCUUGUGAUAGUCUAUUAUCAAGACAGCUUCUAUAAUAUUGGUAGUAUACUCAUCAGGCUUUAUAGGUGAAGUGCAUAUAUGUUGUACAGUAAAAUUUCAUAGAACGGUCACUGAAAGGACAGGGAAUAAUGACCGCUAUUUAGAGGUGACUGUCCUUUAGAGGUUUUCUCAUAACACUUGACGAGACCAAAA